UGGAGGUGAAGCCUGCCCAGUGACAACGUGUUUAACGGCCGCGGUAUCCUAACCGUGCAAAGGUAGCGCAAUCAAUUGUCCCAUAAAUCGGGACCCGUAUGAAUGGCUUAACGAGGUCUUAACUGUCUCCUACAGAUAAUCAGUGAAAUUGAUCUCCCUGUGCAAAAGCAGGAAUAACCCCAUAAGACAAGAAGACCCUGUGGAACUUUAAAAUCCGCAACCACUCCCAUAAACAACCCCCUCUACAAGACAUAUCCUCCCGGGACAUAACUGGUUUGCAUUUUUUGGUUGGGGCGACCUUGGAGAUAAGCCUAACCUCCAAAAACUAGAUCACUCAUCUUGACUAAGAGCAACCUAUCAACGUACUAAUAGUAACCAGACCCAAUAUAAUUGAUUAAUGAACCUAGCUACCCCAGGGAUAACAGCGCAAUCUCCUUCAAGAGCCCCCAUCGACAAGGAGGUUUACGACCUCGAUGUUGGAUCAGGACAUCCUGGUGGUGCAACCGCUACCAAGGGUUCGUUUGGUCAACGAUUAC
rnacentral:rRNA from 1 species